ACCAGCGGUGAUAGCACGUUAAAUGUAGCAGUUCCCCAUGGUCGACUGAAGUUAAGCAACGUUGCUUGUGGUUUGUAUCCCAAUGGAGGACCAUCUGGGCAAAUCGCGUGCUGUUAGCU
rnacentral:rRNA from 1 species